CUGGUAGUCCACGCUGUAAACGAUGUCGAUUUGAAGGUUGUUCCCUUGAGGAGUGGCUUUCGGAGCUAACGCGUUAAAUCGACCGCCUGGGGAGUACGGCCGCAAGGUUAAAACUCAAAUGAAUUGACGGGGGCCCGCACAAGCGGUGGAGCAUGUGGUUUAAUUCGAUGCAACGCGAAGAACCUUACCUACUCUUGACAUCCAGAGAACUUAGCAGAGAUGCUUUGGUGCCUUCGGGAACUCUGAGACAGGUGCUGCAUGGCUGUCGUCAGCUCGUGUUGUGAAAUGUUGGGUUAAGUCCCGCAACGAGCGCAACCCUUAUCCUUUGUUGCCAGCGAUUCGGUCGGGAACUCAAAGGAGACUGCCGGUGAUAAACCGGAGGAAGGUGGGGAUGACGUCAAGUCAUCAUGGCCCUUACGAGUAGGGCUACACACGUGCUACAAUGGCGUAUACAAAGAGAAGCGACCUCGCGAGAGCAAGCGGAACUCAUAAAGUACGUCGUAGUCCGGAUUGGAGUCUGCAACUCGACUCCAUGAAGUCGGAAUCGCUAGUAAUCGUAGAUCAGAAUGCUACGGUGAAUACGUUCCCGGGCCUUGUACACACCGCCCGUCACACCAUGGGAGUGGGUUGCAAAAGAAGUAGGUAGCUUAACCUUCGGGAGGGCGCUUACCACUUUGUGAUUCAUGACUGGGGUGAAGUCGUAA
rnacentral:rRNA from 1 species